GUAGUCCACGCCCUAAACGAUGGAUACUAAUCAGGAGGCCCUGCAAGGGGUUUCUUGACGGAGCGAAAGCGUUAAGUAUCCCGCCUGGGGAGUAUGGUCGCAAGGCUGAAACUCAAAAGAAUUGACGGGGGCUCACACAAGCGGUGGAGCAUGUUGCUUAAUUCGAUGCAACGCGAAGAACCUUACCCGGGCUCGAAAUGUACGGAUUAGCUCUAUGAAAGUAGAGUGACACCUUAACCGGUGGAACGUAUAUAGGUGUUGCAUGGCUGUCGUCAGCUCGUGUCGUGAGAUGUCGGGUUAAGUCCCUUAACGAGCGAAACCCCUGUCACUAGUUGCCAUCAGGUAAUGCUGGGAACUCUAGUGAGACUGCCGGUGUUAAACCGGA
rnacentral:rRNA from 1 species